GUCCACGCCGUAAACGAUGGAUACUAGCUGUUGGGAGCAAUUUCAGUGGCUAAGCGAAAGUGAUAAGUAUCCCACCUGGGGAGUACGUUCGCAAGAAUGAAACUCAAAGGAAUUGACGGGGCCCGCACAAGCGGUGGAGCAUGUGGUUUAAUUCGAUGAUACGCGAGGAACCUUACCAAGGCUUAAAUGUAGUUUGACCGUUUUGGAAACAGAACUUUCGCAAGACAAAUUACAAGGUGCUGCAUGGUUGUCGU
rnacentral:rRNA from 1 species